ACGGUCCGGUACAGCGACCUCAUUACUGCAAACGCUGCGCCGAUCCGCCUUCGACAUCACUCUCCAACCUUCCCUCACUUGUGAACAAGACCCCAAAAUACUCCUCCACCUGGGGCUGGACCUCAUUCCCAACCCGGGGGGUUCAAUCCACCCUUUUCCAACUGAGAACCACGGCCUCGGAUUUGGAGGUGCUGAGUCUCACCCCAGAAGCUUCACACUCAGAUACAAAGUUAACCCCCAACCGCAUUUGACAAAUUUACACCUUUAUUUAGAUGUUUUUGUCUCUCUAUCUUUUUCUUUAUUAUUUCAGAUUUAUGCUCCUAAAAUGUACAUGAUUUUUUUUUUUUGCAUGCUGGUGCAACAUGUCAAUGGUAACCUUGUAACAUCUCAACAGAACCAAAAAAUGAGUGUAUGUCUCCCAGAGUUUAUAUACUGUACGGUACGAUCCCACUUCUGACACCAACAUGGUGAUCUCUAUAGCUUACUGCAGGAAAGUGUGUUCUUACAAGAAAGAGGCAGUAAUAUCGUAACACCCGUAAUCCAUCGAGCUAAUCACUUCAGCAUAAAGUAGCAUUUCCACAGCAAAGAAGGUACACUUAGGUACACCAUGUCUGUAGUUCUGGUAGUUUCUGACGACGUACCAGAGUGGUCCAGUUUUCAUAUUUAACCUUGUAAACCCCAAUUUUAGUUAGUUAGUUCCUAUUAGUUUAAAUAAUGAUGGAACAUGUCAACAGUAACCUUGUAACACCUAAUCAGAACCAAAAAAUGCAUGUAUGUCUCCCAGUGUUUACAUAGCAUAUAAUCCCCUUUCUGACACCAACAUGGCAAGCAAGCAGGAAAUAUGUGCCAGAAAGAGGCAGCAAAAUGAACUUUAUUUGAGCCCUAUUGACACCUAAACUGUAAACAUCCACUGCCAGUUUAUUAUUUGCUUUGGUACACUUUGCACCCGGCAACUUUAGGAGAUUUGUUGAAUAGGGCCGUCAGUUGGAGCAUUUAGGACAUAUUUCUGUGUAUUUUUAUGUUUCUUGAUCAGAAAUCAUAACAGAAUGUGUGUUCCUAUUACAAAUGUUGGAAAGGCAGCUGAACAAAUGGUGUGCACAUCUGCUUAUCUGAAGGCGGUGCACGUUGUUUGCACAGUUGCCCCAAGAAACAAAGUGCUUCCAAACAACAGAUCAUCUCCACUAAGCUUUGGAGGUACACUGCGGUGGUGGUUUGAGGCCAGGCCAGUAAAUAUCAAAUACUCUUUAUGCCAAAGUGGAUGAAAAAUGGAUUGGAUUGGGUUGAAAGGUGGCGUCGGCCCCUCCCCCCCCCAAAAAAACAAGAUGAUACGACCUCCGUAAAGAAUGUGUCACUCAAUCGGGCCAUGCAAGCCAUGCCUCCUUACGCCAAACCUCGACUAAAAAGCCCAAACGUCUGAAUUUACUGCCAGCUGAUGGAUGAAGUUGUUCUGACGAGGUUGGAACAGCUGGCACGCGGGUGGACGCGUACCGGCAGCAAAUCAAAUCCAGCGAGCGGAUUGUGUGAUUGUUCUCUCGCUGGCAAAGGGGACGGAGACAUGAACGACGACGUGAUGGACUUUUCCAGACGGCUUUGCGCCCAGCAGGAGAAACGAGCUGCGAUCGAGUUCCCAUCACGAAUGGAGGCUGGAGAAAUGUUCCCACGGCGUAGAGCACAUGUUUCAUACGCAAAACAUGGGUGCCUGCGUGUCUCAUCAACCACGUCUGCUUUCUAACCCGUCAUUAGCGUUAGUAUGCUGCAGUGGAACCACCAGGGUGGAAAACGUAACAAUAACCCUAGAACAGGGGUGUCCAAACGUUUUAUAUCACUUAAGUUAUAAGUUUUGGGAUAGGCUCCAGGAGAAGUGGCAUAGAAAAUGGAUGGAUGGAUGGAAGUUAUAAGUACAAAAAGAAUAUAGUCUUGUAAGUAUGCUAGCAGAACAUUAAUAUAAAUAUAAUUCUGCAGCUGCACUUUUUGGGAGGUGUAAAACAGCCUUGAUGUGAAAGUAGCAGAUUUUUUUGGUUAAUUAACGUGUGCCUUUAGUCUGUCAUUUACGGUAAUUUGGUCACGUGGUGCUAAUGGCGGAAGGGAAACACCUGUUGUGUUGUGAAUGGGUAAAGCGCAAACGAUGAGAGAGGAGAAACUUAUUUGUUCGGCGAAAAGUCCAAAAAGCAGCACAAUUACGUGGGAUUGGAUUAAUUUGACGGAGCCCUGUCAGUGCUUGCAGAUGAGGGCGACCACAGCAGGACCUGCUGCUCGUUGAGAAGAGCGAUACAUUCUUUCAUGGUAGACUCUAUGGUGUCCAAAUCUAUUUGUGGGGGUCCACAUAGCACGAUAUUGUCAUCUUGUCUCUUGUCUCAGGUGGUCUGUUAGAGGUUUGACAGAAACAAGCUGGUCCGUGGGAACCACUGCUUUAAAGAAAAAACACUUGAGAGUACAGAUUUUUUUUUUUUUGGAAGUACAAAUAUACACCAAAUGUACUCCAUUACAUUAAUGCGAGUAAAUGAGUUGCUUUCCACCUUGUGCGCGUUUUGCACGUCACAGGGUCAAAGUAGGAGCAGGAAGUUUGGCUGAGGACAACACAGAUGGAGACGUUACAACAUUCCCACUUUUUAGGAACGUUUUUCGGGGAAGCUUGACCUCAACCGGGGGGGACACACUUUGUGACUCGUGGGCAGCUGGUCAGAAUAAAGGAUACUUAAGUAAGCAAGUAAACAAACAAACGGCACACGGCAUUGGUUGGACAAUAUUCAUUUGAAAGAAGUGUUGCGUUGUAUUUGAUUUGGAAAUAAAGUUGUUAGUGGAGUUGCAAAAUAGAGAAAGGGAAACAGUAAACUGGCGUACAGCGUUUGCUAUUUACUGGAAUUCAGAUGAUUGUUUGAUUGUUCACCUCCCACCCGCCCUCAUCGACAUGUUUGCCGUCCGACAAAACCAUGGUGAGACGUAGAAACCAAAGGUAAACAUUAGAGCCGCAACAAUCAGUUGAUGAAUCGUUGGCGUCGACAACUAUUUUGGUAUUCACUUAAUUGUUUUUUGAUUUUAAAAAUGUAAAACAUGCUCACAUGUGAAUGUUGUUUGAUUUCCUUGGUCAUCCACGAAAGCAGACCUAUUAUGUUUGUGUUUUAGGCAAAACAAGAUAUUCACACGUUAGCAUUGACUUUGGAAAACAGCGAUUGGCGCUUGAUGUUUGCUUCAUGAUUGGUCUGUCUAUUAAUCAAAACAACACGCUUCAGAUUCAUCAACUGAGAAAAUAGUCGUUAGUUUGAGCCCAUAAAGAAUGAGUUUUCUGCAGAACUUUGUCAAAUAAAGCCUUGCUGUCCGUCCCCCCCGUCACACAGGCUUGUGCUUCUUUGUAAACAAACCCCCACUCUGCUUUGUUUCAAAGCCUCGUCUUCUCUGAGCUGCCGUGAGGUGGUCCCUUGCCGUGAUGACACGUGUAUCAUUGGAAGCUUGUGAAACUAUUAUACUUAAGUACAAGUGCAGGUAUAACAAGCUAAGAGUGAAAGUAGUUGCUUUAAAGUGGGGGGGGCACGUUUGCAAUCAAACAAAAAUAUGGCAAAAAUAGAAAAAACGAACGCAAACAAUGACUUUUGUCAUAUAAAGCUUGUUCUCUGUCCCCUUUUGUCACACGGGCUUGCGAUGUUUGUAAACAAACCCCCGCUCUGCUUUGUAUUCCCUGAGCUGCUGUGAAGCAUCCCCGUGGAUUACUGCAAUGACACGUACAAUGGUGUGAAAGUGUUUGCCCCCUUCCUGAUUUAUUUUGCAAAAAUUUCAAAUAUUAGUCAACAUUAGACAACACAGUUGAGUAUAUAAAUGAACAUAUAUCUGAUAUUGGCUUUUUUUCAGCCCCCAAUAUUUGUAUCGGCCCCAAAAAUCCAAUUGUUUUAAAUAAGCUUCUUAAUGAGUGUUUUUUUAUAGCCUUUUUUUAUUGCACAUGUGGCCUCACGUGGACCACAGUAAACAUAUGGCUGUGAAAAGACGUUUAUAUGACAUACCUUUACAGCCUUGUCGCUAUCGUGGAAUAGUGUUUAGAAGACAUGUAAACAAGGCAUGACUUACUCUCUUGUGCCAACUUUGACGUUGUGGUUCUUCUUUGUCUUGUUUUUUUCCUGUGUACUGGCGGAAUAGCAUCCUUUUUCAAAAUGCGUUCAUACCGUACUUUCAAGCCAAAUACUUCUUGUAAAGGUGUUCCUUUGAAGCAGUUGUCAGUGAAAUGAUGUGUCUGUGUCUUGUUCUCUUAAACCCUCCUCUUCUGGAAAAGAAAACUUAAGUGUCACUGCGAGACUGUAAACAUCCAGCAGCAACACGUCAUUUCGGUAUGACUACUAUUUUGAUGAAAAAUGUACUGAACCAAGUCAACCAACUACUUCGAGAAGAGUUUGUUUACUCUGCGACAACUAGUUUGUCACGGCUGGUGCCCUGAACUAUAAAUGUAAUCUUUGUGAAUUUUUAAUGUUGGCUUUCGACAAAUUGAGCAAUGUAGAACAUAAUUACAAACAAUAUACACUAGGUCCCCAACUUACGAACACCCGACUAGCGAACACUCGCGAAUACGAACACAAGCCGACUGGUCUAUAUUUUAUUUUAUUUUGCCUUGUAGUCACUCAAUCAGUAUUUCUACUGCUACUGUACAUGCUUGACCAGUAGAGGGCACUGUGA